GGGGGUCUUCUCCCCAGAUGCACUGCUCCUCCUUUGGCUGCCUUGUUGGGGGCAGCCUGAGUACACAGAUGGAGGGAUGGAGCAGUCCACCCCUUAAGGAUGUAAUUGAAGUCCUGCAAUCUUGUGGUGAGGUCAGGACUCCACAGAUGUCAGUAUCUGGGUCAUGUUGAUGAAGACGAAAUCUCCCACAGCUUGGAAUUUCAGUUGCUUGGUAGCCGCUGGCCUUGGAAAGACGCAGCGGGAAGCCGGGAAGGAAGUCAGGCUCACUAGAGGAUCAAUGGGCUCUUCUGGACCCCUGCUCUACCAAGCGAUGGU